rnacentral:rRNA from 1 species
UUGAGAGUUUGAUCCUGGCUCAGAACGAACGCUGGCGGUAGGCCUAACACAUGCAAGUCGAGCGAUCUCUUCGGAGAUAGCGGCGGACGGGUGAGUAACGCGUGGGAACAUACCCAGAGGUACGGAACAACAGUUAGAAAUGACUGCUAAUACCGUAUACGCCCUACGGGGGAAAGAAUUUCGCCUUUGGAUUGGCCCGCGUUGGAUUAGAUAGUUGGUGGGGUAACGGCCUACCAAGUCUACGAUCCAUAGCUGGUUUGAGAGGAUGAUCAGCCACACUGGGACUGAG